rnacentral:rRNA from 1 species
AGUGAACGCUGGCGGUAGGCCUAACACAUGCAAGUCGAACGGCAGCACAGUAAGAGCUUGCUCUUACGGGUGGCGAGUGGCGGACGGGUGAGGAAUACAUCGGAAUCUACUUUUUCGUGGGGGAUAACGUAGGGAAACUUACGCUAAUACCGCAUACGACCUACGGGUGAAAGCAGGGGAUCUUCGGACCUUGCGCGAUUGAAUGAGCCGAUGUCGGAUUAGCUAGUUGGCGGGGUAAAGGCCCACCAAGGCGACGAUCCGUAGCUGGUCUGAGAGGAUGGACCGCCACAGUGAAACUGAGACACGGUCCAGGCUCCGACGGGAGGCAGCAGUGGGGAAUAUUGGAAGAUGGGCGGAAGCCUGAUCCAGCCAUGCCGCGUGGGUGAAGAAGGCCUGCGGGUUGUAAAGCCCUUUUGUUGGGAAAGAAAAGCAGCAGGUUAAUACCCCGCUGUUCUGACGGAACCCAAAGAAUAAGCACCGGCAAACUUCGU